GAUGAAGAACGUAGCGAAAUGCGAUAAGUAAUGUGAAUUGCAGAAUUCAGUGAAUCAUCGAAUCUUUGAACGCACAUUGCGCCCGCUAGUAUUCUGGCGGGCAUGCCUGUCCGAGCGUCAUUUCAACCCUCAAGCCCCCGGGCUUGGUGUUGGGGAUCGGCGAGCCUCCGCGCCCGCCGUCCCCUAAAUCUAGUGGCGGUCUCGCUGUAGCUUCCUCUGCGUAGUAGCACACCUCGCACUGGGAAACAGCGCGGCCACGCCGUUAAACCCCCAACUUCUGAACGUUUGACCUCGGAUCAGGUAGGAAUACCCGCUGAGCUUAAGCAUAUCAAUAAGCGGAGGA
rnacentral:misc_RNA from 1 species